ensembl:misc_RNA 7SK 7SK RNA
GGAAGUGAAGGCAAUCUGGCUGCAACAUGUGUCACCAGGGUGGAUUGGGCUGAUCUGGCUGGCUAGCCAGGUGUCCCUUUCAUCCCUCACUGCUCCAUGUGCAUCUCUCCCAAAGCUGCACACUCAGUCCAAGAGGACAGCCAUCCUGAAUAGAAGAGGACUGGUCUUCAGUCAAGCCUACAUGAGUAGUUAUGCUCCCUGCUAAAACCUCCAAACAAGCUCUUAAGGUGAUGGAGGAAGACACAACAGGCCAUUAACAAUAAAACACAUUGAAUAGUUAGGCAAAAAAUU